rnacentral:rRNA from 1 species
UACGAAGGGGGCGAGCGUUGUUCGGAUUUACUGGGCGUAAAGGGCGCGCAGGCGGCGAUCUUUGUCAGGCGUGAAAGCCCCGGGCUCAACCUGGGAACUGCGUUUGGGACGGGAUUGCUAGAGAUCGGGAGAGGAGAGUGGAAUUCCCAGUGUAGAGGUGAAAUUCGUAGAUAUUGGGAAGAACACCUAUGGCGAAGGCAGCUCUCUGGGACGGUACUGACGCUGAGACGCGAAAGCGUGGGGAGCGAACAGG